ACCUUACUGACGAGUGCCAAAUAGAACGAAACCCAGGUUCAGGGU
rnacentral:hammerhead_ribozyme from 1 species